UGAGAGCUCCACCUCCCCCCACUGUUUUCGGCCAAGGCAAGAGCAAAUCAACCCCCAUUUUUAGCUUCUCUAAAAUUGAUUCCUUGGUGUAGAUCAACUAUAUUGAAGUCCCUAAGUAGCGUGGAAGAGUUGUUUGAGUCAUCCAACCACUAGUUGUGCCCAAUUUCAAACCCUAACUAUUGAAGGAAGUGAAUAACAAAGACCUUGGGCAGCCCGAAUCAUAGGUUGGGCUUAGCUUGAGUUGGAUCAUAUUGGAGAGCGUUUGAGGUACAGACGCACAGCCUGGUGAUCCACCUGUUUAGGACACCCUUUCUGCUAUUCGGAGUGCUCCUCUCUUUCCGGAGCUUAUACUUUUGGUAUAUAUAUUUAUUAGUGCAUUUGUAUAUAUUCGUUCAUGGGUACGGCGGGGCCCUGUCCCGUCAUACGAUUCUGUCGGUCUGUUUAGAGGUCUGUGGACAUGUUUGUGGGUUAGGGUCUUUCUGUAUGGAUGUAUGUACAUGUCGUUUGGGCGA